rnacentral:lncRNA from 1 species
CACAUAAAUAAAUAGAAAAAAACACCAGGUUAUAAAAAUGAAUGUGCAAAAAUCAGACAUAUCCGCAAGAACUGAGGAAAAUCUGUAAAUAUAAGGUGGUUUAACAUUGGCUGUCAGUACAGUCACAAUCAUGCAGCCUCUGGACUUGUAGAGAUUUCUCCUGAAGUCAAUAAUGUCGUAGCUGAAAUAGAAAUAGGCAUAAAACAGGCCUUUUCUCGGCUGUGACAAAAGAGAAGCGAGCGUCAUUAGCGCUCCUGCUGUUGCCAGAUGGUCGAUACUCGGAGGGUCCAUCGUGUCAGUCAGCUCGCAGGAGGAAGCUGUGGACUCCUGGGAGCACCGAGCUUCACCUUCUCCGCGCUCACACAUCCCAGUGACCUGAGAACAGCAGGGUCCCAGUUCUGGGCUGCUGACCUGAUCGCCGACUGGACGCUUGAGCGAUGCCUCAGAUGUUCUGAGUUUGUUUCUGUCUGAUUCUCUGCAACCCAAACCUGUCCAGACACGUGGACUCCAUCACUGACUCUGUCUCUAAAGU